AAAUUGAAGAGUUUGAUCAUGGCUCAGAUUGAACGCUGGCGGCAGGCCUAACACAUGCAAGUCGAGCGGAAACGAGUUAUCAGAACCUUCGGGGAACGAUAACGGCGUCGAGCGGCGGACGGGUGAGUAAUGCCUAGGAAAUUGCCCUGAUGUGGGGGAUAACCAUUGGAAACGAUGGCUAAUACCGCAUGAUGCCUACGGGCCAAAGAGGGGGACCUUCGGGCCUCUCGCGUCAGGAUAUGCCUAGGUGGGAUUAGCUAGUUGGUGAGGUAAGGGCUCACCAAGGCGACGAUCCCUAGCUGGUCUGAGAGGAUGAUCAGCCACACUGGAACUGAGACACGGUCCAGACUCCUAC
rnacentral:rRNA from 1 species